GCAGGCUUUUUCCCCUCCACCUAGACUUGAAUUGCACAACAUAAAGGCAGCAUAAAGUAUUUGCUCUCUGAUUCCUAAGGAAGAACUUCAGCUUUUGCAGGAAACCUAGAGCUCUUUGGAAGCCAGGCAUUCCACAAUGAAGAGCUUUCUGGCUUUCCUUGUUGCAGUGGGCACCAUGGUGACCCUGGCUGAUGCAGGCUGCAGAAAUUCACUUCAGGUUCCAGGGAGGCCCUACAGUGGUAGAAACAAGGGAGAUCCUCUGACCUGAUUGCUCUGUGGCUGUAGGUUGAACGGAAAACUGUAUCCCUUUGGAUUCAUUGAGAGGACAGAAAAUUGCUACAAAUGCCACUGUGACGAACGUGCAAUGCAGUGCUGUACCAUCUAUUUCAUUCCUCGUUCUUAUGACAAAGAGAAAUGUAAAGUUGUUUUCAACAAGAAGCGCUGUCGCUAUGAUGUCCUGCAGAGGGAUGACCCCUCACAGCCAUGUUCUUCUGGCUUUUCUGGAGUGUUGUAACCCCUGCUGUAAACCUCUCUGCACUGGGGAAUUCCUCUGCUUCCUACAGAUGCUUUGCCAUCACAGAGAACUACAAUGACAUGAAGAAAUCUCAUAAGAGAGCACUUCAGUAGCUGCCUUCUGACCUCCUAAGAGUUGUAAUUCAGCUUACCAGAUGCAUAAUCAGAUAGUGUCUCAUUUCUAUCAAAAGGUAAUAUUCAUGUUCGUAAUAUUAGUUGUGAAAACUUUGUGUUUUAACUGAUUCAUAGAUGUUAACUUUUUAAUUAAAUAGGAUUUCAUUCUACUAGUUUCCUUUUUUCAACCUGUAUUUAUUUAUUUUCAAAUUAGACCCUUAUUACCUGUAAGGUCCCAAGAGUUUCUGUAUAAUCUGGGCACCAGUUUUCUUACAGAUUAAGAUGACUUUCUUAGUGCAAGAAGAUUUUGAAUCUGAACAGCUCAGCACAAACAAGAGCUGGCACUUGAGAAGAAAGAAAAUUAAUUCCCAUGGGUUUACCAGGCCAAGGAAAUGUAGAGCCUUGUCUCAUAGACUCCAGAGUAUAAACUGUAUUCAUUGACACCCAAAAAUUGCAUUAAGAUGUUUUUAAAAAGACAUUUUUAGUCUCAAGGUGCAAUUGUAUUGGUUUUUCUAUUACUAGUGUAGCUGGUAAUACUGAAACUUCCCUUUUUUUCCCCCUCUAAAUAAAACUAAUUUAGCAAUGAAAUUCAGGAGUCUUUCAUCUCCCUUGCUCCAAGCUGAGACAUGCUCAAGAACAUUGCCACAGGUAAUUUUUACUGGUUUGGGAUUUUUGUUCAUGAGAUUGUCCAUCUGCAGGAAAGUAGAUAAAUACAUCACUCAUCCUCUGAAUUUUUUAUUAUUUUUGCACCACCAAAAAUUAAUGAAAUGUGUAAGGCAGAAAGAGAGAGGUACCAAUUCUGUUUUCCAUCCUUCACAGAAAUGAGACUAAAGAAAACCUUGUUGAAUUUUGCUAACUUCCUCAAAAAUCCCAUCAGAAAUUCCUCUCCAAAUGAGAAAUAUUUCUGUGUUGGUAAAACACUGGAGAAUAAGUUUUUCCUAUUUUUAUAUCCACAGUUAUACCAUACAAAAGCUCCUUAGAAACACCCCAUUAUUGUCAGAGUGGGUCCAAAUUUCAGAUGCUAAAGAUUUUAUAGCACUCAAAUUCAACCUGUUGACACCUAUACCACACACGUAUUUAAUCUGCUGCAUAUUUCACAUUUUAAGGAUUUCAAAAAUAAAAUGCUAGCUGUCAUUUUGUGAAAAAAAAUUACAUGAAACUUGUUGCAUUUUCUACCCUGUUUCAGCUGGCCAUUCCUUUUUGCUUUCUCAAAGAGGGGGAAAGCAAUUCUCCUAGCCCCAGUUUGCUCUCAGAAAGUGAUACAUUACUUUCAAGAAGUACUCCAAGACAUUGUGGGGGUUUUACAGCAGGGUUUCCUGGGCUUACUUCUUCACACCGCUGCAUAGUGCAUACUGUUAUUACAAAUGAAACAGCCCAAGAAAAAUUCUGGUGAAACCUGCCAGAGAUGCAAGUCACAAAAUCUCUCAUGGUGUUCUGUUCUAGUUCCUGCCCAUCUCAAUCAGACAGGAAGGGUGUAGGACUAGAAAUGGCAGGAAGCAGAAUUUGACACAUUACAGAGGAAAACAGCAAAGAAAAAAGAGAAGAGGUCCCAAAAGCCAAGAUAUGUUUUGGAUUUGGGGGAAGAAUUCUGUGGUUGCUCUCCCCAUCCCAGUCUGUUCUGAGACCUGCAGCAAUAACUUCCAACCAUGGCAUUUAGUGUUCAUGGAAUCAGUAGCUAACAGGUUUAAAAAUGGAAAAAAGAGAGCUGAAGUAUAGUGUAGGAGGGAUAUACACAAAAUUAACUGAAUUUCCCCAGAAAUAAGUUUAAAGGAUGCUGAACUAAAUAACUGUUGGUAUGAAAUAGAAGUUAAAACUUCUUUCAUUUUGUGCAUGCCUGGGCAGCUUGUGGGACAGAUGAGCAGAUAAUUUGCUACCACCUGGAGGAACAAAGGCACACUCCCAGUGCCAGAGUGGCCAGAGCAGUGUCCACUGCUGCACCACGUAAGUUCCGCAAAAGCAGAGGCACUACUGGACAGAGCUACAGCAAUGCUCCAACCUGCCACCCUUCCUACAUCUAACUCCUGAAGCCAUGGCUCUACAAAAAGUCUUUCUCACACAUAUAUGGUUUUCAUUUGCUUAAUCAGCUGCAGGGUCAAGAUAACAAGCUGUGUUUGGAAUCACUGUGGGUUUUUUAAUUUGUGGAAUACACUUUUCUGUCAUUAUUCUGGUUCACUGAAGACUUCUCAGACGUUUUUUUACUACACAUCUUGAGACGGAAUGUAGGAGUGCAGGAUAUUUAGCUUUUCCCAUAAGCUGGAGAUACCUUUAUUUCUGAAUCUGCCACUCUUAUUCAUUUUGAUUUACUGCCUCUGGACUUUUCUUGCUGGUACAGUAUCUGUGGCCAUCUCCCUCAGUUCUACCCACACUUCGGAGAUGGAGGUCGCCUUGUUGCAAGCAUGGCCUGGUAUUUGUGAUUGGCCCUUUAGAUCUUUUUGUCUGUCCCUAUGUCCCUUGCUUAGCACUGAUCCUUUGUCCUGGGAUCAUGAUCUGACAGGAUUUUCCAGGCUAGCUGAGAAAUUAUCACGUGUUUUAAAAAUGCAUUUGCACCAAGAUAAAAAACUAGGUGUUUCUCAUCCCACUGAAACUGCAUUGAAUUAAAACUGAAAUUCAGCUCGGGGACGGGGACUUGGCUACACAUGGAAGAAGGCAGGUGUGUUCAGAUCAGAGAAGAAAUGAUAUUAUUGUCUCAAUCUUGGGUCACACAGGUUGAAUUGAAGUCUCAAUUCAAGUUUCUGCUCUGCCAUCUGUUACCUGGGACAAAUUGCUCACAGUGCCUAUGUACCUUGCUAUAAAAUUUAUACAAUUCUUUGAUAAUUCCUGUCCUGGGAGAGAUCUGAGGGCCUAGGCUUUGAGAUUUGUGGGUAUAUGAACCUCAGACUUAAGAAAAGUGUCUCCACCAAGAUAAAACUUCCUUCUACCACCUUUACAAUAUGUUCUUGUGUAAACAGUGCACUGUAUAUUUUAGUGUUUGCAUGUGCCUUUCCUUAACACAGUUAUCCUUUCUCACACACAAAUGUGACAGACUUUAAUAAAGUAAAACCAAUGUACAUUA